UGUAUGUGGCUUGCAUAGAGCCACUGGCACAGCUCUUGAGAAGGGACCAACGGAUUGAAGGUUUUAAAGUACCAGGAAUGGGAGGAGUGACAACAAAAUGUGUGUUAUAUAUGGAUGACGUGACGAUUUUAACUACUGACUUUUUAUCUGUCCGGAGAGCUUUGGAAUUAACAGACUUUUAUGGACAGGCCUCAGGCUCAAUAUUAAACAGGCCCAGCUCUUUGGACAGUGGGGUGACAUAGACUUGGGAGGACUAGACGUGACACUCAGAAAAACGGACAUCAAAAUUUUAGGUGUAAAAUUUGACAGUAAGGGUGGGGGAAGUGGUAACUUGAGUGGAAUCUUAAGCAAAGUAAGACAGCGACUAGGACUGUGGGGACUGAGGACUUUGACUAUGGAGGGAAAGAUCUUAGUUUUUAAAGCUGUGAUUUUACCCCUGUUUUUAUUGUUGUGUUCUGUUUUUAGCCCCCCCCAGGUUCUUCAUUUUAGCUGUGGAAAGAGCAGUUUUUUUUUACUUCCUUUGGGGAUCCAAGUGGGAAAGGACAAGAAGAGACAUCAUCAAAAAGAGAAAGGAAAACGGAGGAAAAGGAUUUCCAGACCUUGGCUUGUUUUUAGGGAGUAAAUUCACAGCAUUACACAUCAAGUAUGCUACGGCCCCAUCAAGAAGUGCGACCACAGCAAUGGAUCGGGAGAAGGUGAGCCCAGUGUCAGGCCUAACUGAGAGCGAGGCAUAGACUGCGUGGAGGAACGCAGCCCACCCUGCUCUCCGGAACCGGCAUAAGGACCUUUCGUGGAUGGCGGCCCAUGAGAUCCUCCCGACCAGGGCGGUCAUGCACUCCAGGGGCAUGUCCACCAACGCAAGGUGCCCAUGGCUUUUCGGCGACAAUCGCCGUUUUCUUGGUCAAUUGGGUCAUUCACGUGAAUCGCGUAGAACCGGAGAGUUUUUUUUUUGAGGUGGUGGGGGGGGUCGCGAGGCUGCCCUACCGAGGCUGAUGGACACUUUUAACAUGAAGGAACCAUCUUAUUCAAGGCGAUGGUUCUGGGCACUUUGGUGGAGCACUCACUGCCAUUCACAAUGGCCCGUCAUCGUCAACCUUGCACAGACGCCGACUGAGGACAAAGUGGCUCUGUCGCACAAAGCUUUCGCGAACAUCGGCAAAAUAUAUAUAUAUAUCUAUAUCUAUAUAUGUCUAUAUCUAUAUCUAUAUAUAUAUAUAUAUAUAUAUAUAAUUUUUUUUUCAUUUCUGUCUGUCACAAAUACACCAAUCCCUGGACUGCCAGAAACCUGCUGGUGGGGAAACGGGUGACGGUGCCCCUCCACGCCACGGUAAGGACGGUCGAGUACAUGCUGCAGGGGCACCGCACCUAAUCAUUCGGAUGGGGGGGCCGGGGUUGCCACAGAGAGGGUCCUGGCUGCCACCGACCCUGGUCGCCCGUAGAUGCACCCUCACCACCAUUGGCUACGGGAACAGCGGGCCAGGGGGUGGGGAUCUCCUCUGGGUCCCUGAAGCAGAGUCUGAUUGCUCGGAACUGAGGGCUGGAGGUGGGCCAAAAGGGAAGGCUCACCUCCCCGGUCCAGUACAACAGAACACUGUUUUUUUACCCCAUUUUAUUCUGCUUUUACUGAUUAGAGGAUUACAAAUUACUGUUUUAACACUUUUUUAAUAUUGUUUUUUAUCCUGGUUCUUAAAACACACUGGAAGCACUUGUAAAUAACUAAUGUUAUUCUAAAUAUGAAGUAUAUUGAACUGUAGUUACUUCUAAUGGUUUUAAAAAAUUACAUACUUUACAGAGGUGCUUUUAAGUAGCAUGUGGAUAUUUUAUAUUUUGUGUUUUAGAGCUUCAGGAUUUUAAUGGCGUUUUCAAUCCUCAUUAAAAUUAUGUUUUAUUUCAGAUCUAUUUUUGUUUUUAGACCUGCAUGUGCAGGGGUUUAUAAUGUUUUAUGUAACCUGACUUGUUUACUGCAUGUGCAGCUAUUUAUAUGAUGAUCUUGUAUCAAUAAACAAAAAUAGAAAGAAAAAAUCUGUUCUUAUCAGUUUAAUGUCUGAUACGUCUCCUACCCGGGGACUAUAUUUUAAAUGGAUUUUUGACCUUCGGAAAUGGAAGCGGAGCUUGCUCCUUCCACUCUAUGCAUCGACAUGGUAUUGCAGUGUUUCCAUGAAUGGUGCGCUCCCCUUCUCGGGGACAAACAAGUCAAGUAAAAAAAAAAGAAUUUGCUUCUUUUGUGCGUGGAUGGCAUUGUGUUUUCUGAUCCAUGUGUGUUUUAAAAUUGGUGUGUUGUAGUUGGCAUUAUUGGUUUAACGAAAAGCUUGCGUGGAAAUGAACACGCUGAUAAAGAAAUGUUUUUGUAAUGUAUUUAAUUGUUUUCUUUACAAGUUUGCGGAGGUGAUACGAUGACGACUUAAACAUCCUUGACACAGCGAAGGCGCAACAAAAUCGAACUAAACAGAUUGGGAUGUUCAAAACACCUGAAAACUUUUUUCACUACCCUUCAUACUACAGCUGUGCACACGGUACUUUUUCAAAAAUAUUAUAUCAAAGGGUGGGACAAAUACUAAGUUAAACAUGGGAGGAAGAGAAGCAAAAUGUACUGAAGAUAUUUUAAAGGAAGUAGAAGAUCUUUAUGGCGAGUUAUAUAAUGAAAAGGAGGUGCAGGAAGAUGUUUUAUAUCAAGUUUUAAAUAGUUUAAAAAAGAAAAUUCAAGAUGAGUGUACUUUUUAAAUCAGGAUUUUACAAUCAUAGAACUCACAAAAUGUAAGAACAACUUUAAAAAAAGGUAAGUCCACAGGAAGUGAUGGGCUUCCUGUAGAAUUUUAUGAAAAAAUUUGGGAUAUUUUAGUACAUGAGGUAUUAAAUGUUUUUAAGAAUUUGACAGACUUGACAUACUUUCUGACAGUUUUAGACUAGGGAUAGUUUUGCUUCUUCACAAAAAAGGGUGACAAAUCAGACCUAAAGACAUGGAGACCAAUCAGCCUUUUAAAUUUUGACUGCAAACUUUUACGGUCAUAUGUCGAGGAUUUUAGAGGACAUAAUUUACCCGGAUCAAGCUUGUGCGGUGCCCGGGAGGAAGAUCACUGACAGCCUAAUAUUGAUCAGAGAUGCCAUCUGUUUUGCGAGAGACAGAAAUAUUAGGUUAUUGGUUCUAAAUUUAGACUUUGAGAAAGCGUUCGAUCGGGUCUCGCACCAGUACCUGUUUCGGGUACUGAAAAAAAUGGGAUUCCCAGGGAGGUUUUUAGUGUGGGUGGGUAUGCUCUACAAAGAAAUAACCAGCAGAAUUCUAAUAAAUGGGCACCUGACAAAAGCAGUUAAUAUACGCAGCGGCAUCCGGCAAGGGUGUCCGUUAUCCCCACUCUUAUAUGUGGCUUGCAUUGAGCCACUGGCACAGCUCUUGAGAAGGGACCCAAUGGAUCAAAGGACUGAACUUACCUGAAACCGGAGGACUGACUGCUAAAUGUGUUUUAUAUAUGGAUGAUGUGACUCUUUUAACAACUGAUUUUAUUUCAGUCCAGAGAGUUUUAUGGAAAGGCCUCGGGCGCUAAGCUCAACAGGAGUAAGCCCGAAGCCCAACUCUUUGGACCAUGGGGACACAUUGACAGACUAGGCCUUGACGUGACCAUAAAGAAUACAGACUUA